rnacentral:rRNA from 1 species
UACGUAGGGUGCGAGCGUUAAUCGGAAUUACUGGGCGUAAAGUGUGCGCAGGCGGCACCGCAAGUCGAGUGUGAAAGCCCCGGGCUUAACUUGGGAAUUGCGCUCGAAAACUAUGGUGCUGGAGUGUGGCAGAGGAAGGUGGAAUUCCUGGUGUAGCGGUGAAAUGCGUAGAUAUCUGGAGGAACACCGGUGGCGAAGGCGGCAUCCUGGACCGACAUUGACGCUGAGGCGCGAAAGCCAGGGGAGCAAACGGG